CAGCCACAGCCACAGCCACAGAAAGGGGGAAUCCAAGUUGUGUAUGUGACCUACACUGUAGCAGCUUGCAGCAUCACCAGAUCCUUAACCCACUGAGCGAGGCCGGGGUUGAACCCACAUCCUCACGGACACUAUGUUGGGUCUUAACUCACUGGGCCACAAUGGGAACUCCUGAUAUAUUUCUUAUAUAGGAGCUAAGGCUAUUAAGUAAUAACAUAAAUUCCAGAAGAGCUUAGUGCAUUUAGUCUCAUUACUUUAUAGCCUCAUUUUCUGUGAGUGUUUCUUAGUGCUCAGAGAAUGUGUUUGUGAGUCUGUGAUUGUAUCAUUUUCCCUGAUAAUAGCUAAGAACUUUUUAGCUGUAUUCCUAAUGUGCCUUAGAUUGAGUGGGUUGCUUGGUUGUAUGAUAAGUGAGUGAACGAAUAAAAUGCACUAAAAUCCACGUACGUAUCUAACUGGUCUCCUUGUUUCUGUCCUCUUCCUCUCCACUUUUAUUCUAAGCAGCAAUACAACUUAAUUUUUCCCUUACCAAAAAGAUUCAAAUUCUCCCAUUUUCCUCAUAGCCAAGGCCUAUUAUGUUAGAGGGACAGGAAAGAGCUUCUGUGGUCUGGUACCGCCCUCCCUCUUCAACCUAAUUUCCUACUUCUUCACCCCACAAGCUCUCCACCCCAAUCAAACUGGCCCAGGAGCUCUCUGUCAAGCCGGAUGGACCACCACAUUUCCGCCUUGACUCACUCUAGAAUGCACCUCACUUCACCUUACUUUGUUCAGCUUUUCCUAAAGCUUUAAUGGCAUAUAAUACAACAGCAAUCACAAGAAUAACAAUAAAAAUAAUAGCAGCAGCGGCGGCGGUCAUAGUGGUAAUAAUAGUAGAACUGACAUUUGUACAGCUGGUACAGUUUAGUAAAGAACACAGGUUUGAGGCCAGAUGCCUGAGUUUUAAUCUCGUUUCUCAAAAUUCCAAGUUGUGUGAGUUAAGGCAAGUCAUUUAACCUCUCUGCAUUUUAGCAUUCAUAUCUUUAAAAUGGGAAUAAGGAUGCACCUACAUCACAGGUUUUUGUGAAGAGAAAUGAGUGAACACACGUAAGGAGUGCUUAGAACAUAAUAAAUGGUCAAUAAAAUUAGCUCUAAUUACAUAGCAUUUAUCAUGUAUCAGGCAGUAUACAGUUUUGUUUUUUUUAAUGUCUUAAAUAAUUUCUCAGUAACCCCUGAGGUAGAACCAAUUGUUUUCUCCCAAGUUUAGCUCCAUGUUACUUCUGAAAGUAACUGAGUCAAGUUAUUUAACCCAAAUUCACCCAGCAUGGGAAUGGUUGGGCUGUAAUCCAAAUCCAAACAGCCAAACUCCAGAGCCUGGCUCUUAACUGCUGUGAUUUUACUUCUUCCAAGAGCCACUGAAAAUCUUGCUUCAUCAGUUGAGAUUUUCUUCACUGCUGGAUGUUUCAAUAUUUUAAAACGUUCAGAGUUUAAAUGCCUGUUUGAUAGUAACAUUACUUGAGUGUUCAUUAGGUACUAAGUCUCUAAUAAAACUGCAUUAAUUCAUCAAUUUGAUGUUUGCAAUUUGAUAUUUCAAAUCUUCUCUUAUGUUGUCAUGAAAAUCAUUUGUAUGGUAUCUGAGAGGUGAGUCCUAACUCCUAUGUUCUCUUGUAUAUCCAGUGUACCUCACAAAACAUUCUUUAAAUGUAAUAAGUGCUUGUCAGAAGCACUGUCAUGGUGUGUUGGGAUGAUAAUGGUAAUGACACUGAUAAUAGCUAAGUAUCUUAUAAGCAUGUAUAAUAAUUUUAGUUUGAACAUAUAUUAUGUGAAGCAAGGCAAUUACUCUAGAGAGUUUUGCAAGGAUAAAAUGAAAACCAUUUUGUUAGAUGGCUCUGCUGCAAAACUAAGAGCUGGGAUCCUCGUUUUAGACCCCUGCUUUGUCAACAUGAUGUGUGUUAUCUUGAGGGUGUCAUUCACUGCUAUGUGUCUCAUUUGAAUUAUCUGUAAAAAAUAUGUUAGCAAAAUAUUCAGCUGGUCUGCCUCAUAAAGGUAGUAAGGUCCAAAGAAGAUAACGUGUGUGAAGGAGUUCCCCAAAUGACACAAUGAACCCUUGACAAGGAGGAAGGUUGUAUUUCAAGUAAGAGCUGCUUAAUCCCAAAUUGUGAACAUUACUGUAGCAUAGAUUUUCCUCAUAAAAUGCAUUCAAUUACAACUAUAAAUUUUUAAGUUUCUUCUUUAAAACCUUAAUUAAAAUUACUGGGUGUGUAACAAUAAAAGGAAAACAGUACAGCUGCCUUGAGCCGUGAUUCAUGGGUCCACGAGGGUCACUCGCCAACAAUUGUUCACAACUUAAGGUGUGCUCUAAGGACCAGCAUCACUGACACCCCAGAGAAAAAUACAGAAUCUCAGGUGCCUCUCUGGAGAGUCAGCAUAUGAAUUUUCGUAAAAUAUCCUUUGGUGAUGCCUGUGUAGAUUAAAUGUAAGUCACUGUCAUAAGCGCCUCAAUUACCUUGCAUGUUUGCCUUCAAUAACAGCCGAUUUGAAUUCACACCAGAGCAAACGCAUCUAUUACAGAAUUUCAGGGAUAUCCAAGACAAUACCCAACAUGUCAAAACCACAAAUCUUAAAUCCCAGGAUUCUCAAAGAUUUCAGUAGUGGGCUAUAUACGUAAAACAUGUAAUCACUACCAAUAACUGGAGCGAUUCAAGUAUUAUGUCUACCAAGUGAUACUGCUUGAUAAAAGGGGCUAGCCUUAGAUUCAAAGAUUAAUAAUUGCAUUCUUCUUGAAAUUACUCAUCUAGAGCACCUAAGGGCAUGUGAAGGAGAAGGAGCAAUUAGCUGGUGAAUGCAGAAUGCGUAGGUGGCUAAUUUUCUCUUUGGAAAAAAAAAAAGUUGUGUUUUUUUUUUCCCCCAAAUGAAGGUUAUGGCAUGUCUUGGUGAGUUUCUGACCUACUGUGUAUACAGGAGCUCAACUUGUACACAUGAUGACUUUGCAGGCUAUUGCCCAUACCUGUCCAGUUUGAGUGAAUUAAUGAAGUAAAUUUUAAUUCACUAAAUAAUUCACAAACUUUUGAGACACAAUCAUUGUCAACAGCCCCUGAUCCCAAGAUAAUAUUGGAACACAAAGCUCAUUACCAUUUUACCAAAGCAGAAAUUAUAUUGCUUCAAUAUUGUCCACUAAGAAACAGAGUGGAGACCAAAAAUAUUUAAAAUAUUUUGCUUUGUUCACCAUUCUCCAAAUUUAAUUAUUUUUAAAAGCAAUGUUUAUAGUGGGUCCUAAUGGGUGUUUAAGGUUGGUCAAGUCUACAGGAGCCGUGAAAUGAAAUAUAGAGGCAAUUAUCUGAGUAAUUCGGGAUAAUUUGCUUCCACCUGAUUGUAAUUGAGACAAUAAUGGGAAUUACACUUCCAUGAGGACAUGGAUUUUUGUCUGUGUUGUUCAUUAAUGUACUCCAAGUUUUCUUAAGUAAGAAUUUUGUUCAGUUCUGCUACAACCUAAGCUCUGAAAAGCAGGUACACAGUAGGUGAUCAAUAAACAUUCCCUUAAAAAAUGAAUCCCAAAGUUCCUUGUAUACCUAAUUUUAUUAUGGAAAAAAAAUCUAAUAUUGGAGAUGUAUCAUAACACCUUACAAGAUUUUCACAAGCGAAAAACACAGUCAACUAAUUGAUUUUUGUACAUACUGGCCACUUACAAUUCUUUUUAUUUCAUUGGAUUUUCUGAUUAUUAGGUCAAAUCUAACCCAUCUAUCAAGAAUUUAAUAUCAUGAGAGACAACAUGAAAUAAUUAAAAGAACACAGAUAAUGAAAUUAGUCAGAAAUUGGUGUGAAUCCUAACUCUAACACCAGGUGCAAAACCUUGGACAAGUUAUUCAACCUCUAAGUUUCAAACAGUUAAAAAAUAAGAACAGUAAUGUGUUCUUUACAAGAAAAUAGAACUUUAACGUGAUAACCUCACUGAAAGUACUUGUCUGGCAUUCAAAGAUAUCAGUUAUUUAACUAAUGUUAAAGUUAUUUGUGUAAACACAAUUUGAAUGAAUUUUGCUACAGGUCAGUGAGCAUAUGUCCCUAACUUUAGAAUAUGAUGCAAACUAGAAAGGAUUAGAAGCGGAUAAAAAGGAGUCUCCACUCUGUCCUAGGACCCAGGUUCGAUCUCCAGCCUGGUACUGUGGGUUAAGGAUCUGGCAUUACUGCAGCUGUGACAUAGGUUGCAACACUCCAGCGUGGAUCUGUUCCCCAGCCUGGGAACUCCACAUGCCCUGGGGCAGCCAAAAAAGGGAGGAAAAAAAAGUGUAGAAAAAAAGCAGUGAAAAUUAUUCAAGAUGGGUAUGAAGAAAGGAUUUUACUGAAAGCAGUAAGAUUCACCUUUCCACUUGAGUCAACUCAUCCAGCUUUACAAGGAACGUCUAAGGUCAUUAGACCUCAAAUGUCUUAGUCAUCCUGAAAGACUUACUUUGAUAUUUUCUCCUUGCCCACCUUGAAUGAUUUUCACUGUUUGUUUUUUUUUUUUCUGCUGAACUUUGUUUGUGGCAUUUUGACAGAUACAGAUUUGAGGGGAAAAUCAAUCUCAGGAGAAGGUCUUUAUGAUACUAAACUUUUCUACAAAAUUCUACAAAAUGAGCACAAUUUUCACUUAAAAUAAAGAUCAUAGUUAUGCCUGGAGCUUAACCUUUCUUGCUGCUCAAUAUUAUCAUAACCUGGGGGAAAGUGUAGCCUGUCUAUAACAAUCAGACUCCCAGCAAAGUGUGAUUUCAUU
rnacentral:lncRNA from 1 species